GACGAACGCUGGCGGCGUGCUUAACACAUGCGAGUCGAACGGAAAGGCCCUGCUUUUGUGGGGUGCUCGAGUGGCGAACGGGUGAGUAACACGUGAGUAACCUGCCCUUGACUUUGGGAUAACUUCAGGAAACUGGGGCUAAUACCGGAUAGGAGCUCCUGCUGCAUGGUGGGGGUUGGAAAGUUUCGGCGGUUGGGGAUGGACUCGCGGCUUAUCAGCUUGUUGGUGGGGUAGUGGCUUACCAAGGCUUUGACGGGUAGCCGGCCUGAGAGGGUGGCCGGCCACAUUGGGACUGAGAUACGGCCCAGAAUCCUACGGGAGGCAGCAGUGGGGAAUAUUGCACAAUGGGCGGAAGCCUGAUGCAGCAACGCCGCGUGCGGGAUGACGGCCUUCGGGUUGUAAACCGCUUUCGCCUGUGACGAAGCGUGAGUGACGGUAAUGGGUAAAGAAGCACCGGCUAACUACGUG
rnacentral:rRNA from 1 species